rnacentral:rRNA from 1 species
UACGUAGGGGGCAAGCGUUGUCCGGAAUCAUUGGGCGUAAAGAGCGUGUAGGCGGCCUGAUAAGUCGGUUGUGAAAGUCAAGGGCUCAACCCUUGAAUGCCGACCGAUACUGUCAGGCUAGAGUCCGGAAGAGGCGAGUGGAAUUCCUGGUGUAGCGGUGAAAUGCGCAGAUAUCAGGAGGAACACCUAUGGCGAAGGCAGCUCGCUGGGACGGUACUGACGCUGAGACGCGAAAGCGUGGGUAGCAAACAGG